rnacentral:tRNA from 1 species
GGGCGAGUAUGGCAUAGUGGUUUGAAUGCUGAAUUAUGACUCUGGAGACCAGGGUUCGAUUCCCAACUUGGCCA